rnacentral:rRNA from 1 species
AUUAAACGCUGGCGGCAUGCCUUACACAUGCAAGUCGAACGGUAGCGCGGGGCAACCUGGCGACGAGUGGCGAACGGGUGAGUAAAGCAUCGGAACGUGCCCUGGAAUGGGGGAUAACGUAGCGAAAGUUACGCUAAUACCGCAUAUUCUGUGAGCAGGAAAGCAGGGAAUCGCAAGACCUUGCGUUCUGGGAGCGGCCGAUGUCGGAUUAGCUAGUUGGUGGGGUAAAAGCCUACCAAGGCGACGAUCCGUAGCGGGUCUGAGAGGAUGAUCCGCCACACUGGGACUGAGACACGGCCCAGACUCCUACGGGAGGCAGCAGUGGGGAAUUUUGGACAAUGGGCGGAAGCCUGAUCCAGCCAUGCCGCGUGAGUGAAGAAGGCCUCGGUUGUAAG